UUGGAGGGCAAGCUGGUGCCAGCAGCCGCGGUAAUUCCAGCUCCAAUAGCGUAUAUUAAAGUUGUUGUGGUUAAAAAGCUCGUAGUUGAACCUUGGGCCUGGCUGGCCGGUCCGCCUCACCGCGUGUACUGGUCCGGCCGGGCCUUUCCCUCUGUGGAACCCCCAUGCCCUUCACUGGGUGUGGCGGGGAAACAGGACUUUUACUGUGAAAAAAUUAGAGUGCUCCAGGCAGGCCUAUGCUCGAAUACAUUAGCAUGGAAUAAUAGAAUAGGA
rnacentral:rRNA from 1 species